GGGGGAAUUCCCGAGCGGCCAAAGGGGCCAGACUGUAAAUCUGGUGGCUACGCCUUCGCAGGUUCGAAUCCUGCUUCCCCCA
rnacentral:tRNA from 6 species